AGUCGCAUGGUUUAAUGGUUAUAACAUCUCGUUCACAUCACUUAUCAGUGAUUACCGUGAAGGUUCCCGGUUCGAUCCCGGGUGCGACUA